rnacentral:misc_RNA from 1 species
AACGCACAUUGCGCCCCUUGGUAUUCCAUGGGGCAUGCCUGUUCGAGCGUCAUUUGUACCUUCAAGCUCUGCUUGGUGUUGGGUGUUUGUCCCGCUUUCUGUGUGGACUCGCCUCAAAGCAAUUGGCAGCCGGCGUACUAGCCUGGGAGCGCAGCACAUUUUGCGCCCCUUGGCUUGAAUGCCUGCGUCCAUUAAGCCCUUUUUUUGCUCUUGACCUCGGAUCAGGUAGGGAUACCCGCUGAACUUAA